UUGACAUUAGUGUUGUAAUAUCUCAAAACUCAAGCAGCAACCUUCGUCCAAGAAAAAAUAGUGACAAAGACACGAUCCUUAGAUAAGGAAUGCUGCCUGACAUUAUUUAAGGAAUAUCAAACGAACAUGGAAAUUCUCCUCAACUAGAACAAAAUUACUUAAUAGCCUGAGAUGUGAGGAACAUUCAAGUUCAUAUUACUAGUUUAAUAGAUUUUGUGGAAAGGAAAAUAUAUACAGCAUUAUACAUUGUAUAAUAUUUAAUCAACUCGAAGUCAUCAUUUAGGAGAUUACGAAAUUGGAACAAUUUAUUUUAAUAUUUACAGACCAUAUCAUGUGGAUAAUGACAAAGAUUAAUCUAGAGAAGACGAAAGACGUAGCCAAUCAACAAAGAUAAUACCACAAUUGUAUUUAAUCAUCUUUCGAAAUGACUCAACAUUUGCCAAGGUUAUUCAACGAUGACUGCAUUUUUGUAACAAACUUUGUAUGCUAUAAUUGAAUAAAAACAGGCCAAGCACCUUC